UACGGAGGGGGCUAGCGUUGUUCGGAAUCACUGGGCGUAAAGCGCACGUAGGCGGCUUUGUAAGUUAGAGGUGAAAGCCCGGGGCUCAACUCCGGAAUUGCCUUUAAGACUGCAUCGCUAGAAUUGUGGAGAGGUAAGUGGAAUUCCGAGUGUAGAGGUGAAAUUCGUAGAUAUUCGGAAGAACACCAGUGGCGAAGGCGACUUACUGGACACAUAUUGACGCUGAGGUGCGAAAGCGUGGGGAGCAAACAGG
rnacentral:rRNA from 1 species